rnacentral:rRNA from 1 species
UACGAAGGGGGCUAGCGUUGCUCGGAAUCACUGGGCGUAAAGCGCACGUAGGCGGAUUGCUAAGUCAGGGGUGAAAUCCUGGAGCUCAACUCCAGAACUGCCUUUGAUACUGGCGAUCUUGAGUCCGGGAGAGGUGAGUGGAACUGCGAGUGUAGAGGUGAAAUUCGUAGAUAUUCGGAGGAACACCAGUGGCGAAGGCGGCUCACUGGCUCGGUACUGACGCUGAGGUGCGAAAGCGUGGGGAGCAAACAGG